AACGAACGCUGGCGGCAUGCCUAACACAUGCAAGUCGAACGAGUCCUUCGGGUCUAGUGGCGCACGGGUGCGUAACGCGUGAGAACCUGCCCUUAGGUUCGGAAUAACUCCCCGAAAGGGGUGCUAAUACCGGAUAAUGUCUUCGGACCAAAGAUUUAUCGCCUUUGGAUGGGCCCGCGUUGGAUUAGCUAGUUGGUAGGGUAAAAGCCUACCAAGGCGACGAUCCAUAGCUGGUCUGAGAGGAUGAUCAGCCACACUGGGACUGAGACACGGCCCAGACUCCUACGGGAGGCAGCAGUGGGGAAUAUUGGACAAUGGGCGAAAGCCUGAUCCAGCAAUGCCGCGUGAGUGAUGAAGGCCUUAGGGUUGUAAAGCUCUUUUACCCGGGAUGAUAAUGACAGUACCGGGAGAAUAAGCUCCGGCUAACUCCGUG
rnacentral:rRNA from 1 species